rnacentral:rRNA from 1 species
AGCAGUCGCCACGGUAAUACGAAGGGUGCAAGCGUUAAUCGGAAUUACUGGGCGCAAAGCGUGCGUAGGCGGUUUGUUAAGUCUGCUGUGAAAUCCCCGGGCUCAACCUGGGAAUGGCAGUGGAUACUGGCAAGCUAGAGUGUGUCAGAGGAUGGUGGAAUUCCCGGUGUAGCGGUGAAAUGCGUAGAGAUCGGGAGGAACAUCAGUGGCGAAGGCGGCCAUCUGGGACAACACUGACGCUGAGGCACGAAAGCGUGGGGAGCAAACAGGAUUAGAUACCCCAGUAGUCCCUGUCUCUUAUAC